GCCCUCCUAGAUCAGUGGCAGAUCGUCAGUUUCCGGCGACUUUGAGUCGACCUUAGUAGCUGAAGGUCGUGGGUUCAAUCCCCACGGUGGGUA